rnacentral:rRNA from 1 species
AGCGAACGCUGGCGGCAGGCUUAACACAUGCAAGUCGAGCGGGCGUAGCAAUACGUCAGCGGCAGACGGGUGAGUAACGCGUGGGAACGUACCUUUUGGUUCGGAACAACACAGGGAAACUUGUGCUAAUACCGGAUAAGCCCUUAACGGGGAAAGAUUUAUCGCCGAAAGAUCGGCCCGCGUCUGAUUAGCUAGUUGGUGAGGUAACGGCUCACCAAGGCGACGAUCAGUAGCUGGUCUGAGAGGAUGAUCAGCCACAUUGGGACUGAGACACGGCCCAAACUCCUACGGGAGGCAGCAGUGGGGAAUAUUGGACAAUGGGCGCAAGCCUGAUCGAGCCAUGCCGCGUGAGUGAUGAAGGCCCUAGGGUUGUAAAGCUCUUUUGUGCGGGAAGAUAAUGACGGUACCGCAAGAAUAAGCCCCGGCUAACUUCGUG